UACGGAGGGUGCAAGCGUUGUCCGGAUUUAUUGGGUUUAAAGGGUGCGUAGGUGGAACUGUAAGUCUGAUUUGAAAGCAGGCGGCUUAACCGUCUGAUGUGGUUGGAAACUGUGGUUCUUGAAUGGGUUGGCGGUAGCCGGAAUGGGUCAUGUAGCGGUGAAAUGCAUAGAUAUGACCCCGGAACACCGAUUGCGAAGGCAGGCUACUACGACUUGAUUGACACUGAGGCACGAG
rnacentral:rRNA from 1 species